AUCUACGGUGGUCAAGUUGUACUUUCUUAGGAAAAAUGUCAAACCGUACUUGUCCAUUUGACCCAAAUAUGAAUUUGAAAACUUCCGUGGUAUUUUUGUGAAGCCCAGGCCCAUGUCAGCUGAAGCCAACCCAAAACCCCUUAAUACGAUGCCGUUUUCUCUUCCAGGUAAGAUCCUUUUCAGUUUCUCCCUCACCCAAUUUUUCCUCCUUCUAUUUUGCAUUUUGUGAGUUUUCUCAUUUAAUUCUUGACGGUUUUCUUCUCUCCCAAAACCCUUCCUCUCAACCGUAUCUCUUUUCCCUCACAAUCAGUUUCUCUCUCAAGUUGACGCCCUCUCUCUUACUCCUCUAUUUUCUGUGUUUCUGCUUUGAGAUUUCAGGUAGUGUCGCUGCGAUUUUUCCCUCACUAAUCUCCCCUUUAGACGCUCACCCACUCUCGUUUCUCUCUUGUUCUCUCCCGUCUGUGAAGUAGUUAACCUCAGUGCCGAGGUGUUGACGUCGAGCCCUGUCGAACAAAGGUGACGAGAUUAUUAGAGGUCGAAUUCAAGGCAUAUAUAAUACACUGCAGGAGUCAGAUGAUAUGGAGAGUCCAACUGAGGACCUGGAUUAGGAAUGGUGAGCAUGAUUAAGCUGAGGAAAGGAUGUUAAAUGAAGAAAUACUAAUGUCUUUUAGAUUUGAUGUCUUUUAGAUUUAAUUAUGUUUUUGCUUUAGUAGGACUUAUGGAAUUAUCAAUUUGCUACGUUAUGACUACCAGGAGAUUGUGGACCCCUUGGUUUAUUAUUAUUGCAAUAAUGACUUU